rnacentral:snoRNA from 21 species
GAGUGCCGCUGGAGUGCCGCCCUAGGCGGCUCUAUGAUAGUCGGCCCCCCGGCCUUA